UACGGAGGAUGCGAGCGUUAUCCGGAUUUAUUGGGUUUAAAGGGUGCGCAGGCGGCGAGUUAAGUCAGCGGUAAAAUUUCGGGGCUCAACCCCGACAAGCCGUUGAAACUGGCUUGCUAGAGUGGGCGAGAAGUAUGCGGAAUGCGUGGUGUAGCGGUGAAAUGCAUAGAUAUCACGCAGAACCCCGAUUGCGAAGGCAGCCUGCCAAGCCAUGACUGACGCUGAUGCACGAAAGCGUGGGGAUCGAACAGG
rnacentral:rRNA from 1 species